UAGAGUUGAUCAUGGCUCAGAUGAACGCUGGCGGCAGCCUAACACAUGCAAGUCGAGCGGUAGAGAGAAGCUUGCUUCUCUUGAGAGCGGCGGACGGGUGAGUAAUGCCUAGGAAUCUGCCUGGUAGUGGGGAUAACGUCCGGAAACGGACGCUAAUACCGCAUACGUCCUACGGGAGAAAGCAGGGGACCUUCGGGCCUUGCGCUAUCAGAUGAGCCUAGGUCGGAUUAGCUAGUUGGUGGGGUAAUGGCUCACCAAGGCGACGAUCCGUAACUGGUCUGAGAGGAUGAUCAGUCACACUGGAACUGAGACACGGUCCAGACUCCUACGGGAGGCAGCAGUGGGGAAUAUUGGACAAUGGGCGAAAGCCUGAUCCAGCCAUGCCGCGUGUGUGAAGAAGGUCUUCGGAUUGUAAAGCACUUUAAGUUGGGAGGAAGGGCAGUAAAUUAAUACUUUGCUGUUUUGACGUUACCGACAGAAUAAGCACCGGCUAACUCUGUGCCAGCAGCCGCGGUAAUACAGAGGGUGCAAGCGUUAAUCGGAAUUACUGGGCGUAAAGCGCGCGUAGGUGGUUCGUUAAGUUGGAUGUGAAAUCCCCGGGCUCAACCUGGGAACUGCAUUCAAAACUGACGAGCUAGAGUAUGGUAGAGGGUGGUGGAAUUUCCUGUGUAGCGGUGAGAUGCGUAGAUAUAGGAAGGAACACCAGUGGCGAAGGCGACCACCUGGACUGAUACUGACACUGAGGUGCGAAAGCGUGGGGAGCAAAC
rnacentral:rRNA from 1 species